GCUAGGUAUGGUGGUGCACACCUGUAAUCCCAUUUACUUGGGAGGCUGAGGCAAGAGGAUCACAAGUUCGAGGUCAGGCUCAGCAACUUAGCAAGACCCUGUCUCAG
rnacentral:sRNA from 1 species